CUGUGAAGAUGCAGUGUACCCGCGGCAAGACGGAAAGACCCCGUGAACCUUUACUAUAGCUUGACACUGAACAUUGAGCCUUGAUGUGUAGGAUAGGUGGGAGGCUUGGAAGUGUGGACGCCAGUCUGCAUGGAGCCGACCUUGAAAUACCACCCUUUAAUGUUUGAUGUUCUAACGUUGACCCGUAAUCCGGGUUGCGGACAGUGUCUGGUGGGUAGUUUGACUGGGGCGGUCUCCUCCUAAAGAGUAACGGAGGAGCACGAAGGUUGGCUAAUCCUGGUCGGACAUCAGGAGGUUAGUGCAAUGGCAUAAGCCAGCUUGACUGCGAGCGUGACGGCGCGAGCAGGUGCGAAAGCAGGUCAUAGUGAUCCGGUGGUUCUGAAUGGAAGGGCCAUCGCUCAACGGAUAAAAGGUACUCCGGGGAUAACAGGCUGAUACCGCCCAAGAGUUCAUAUCGACGGCGGUGUUUGGCACCUCGAUGUCGGCUCAUCACAUCCUGGGGCUGAAGUAGGUCCCAAGGGUAUGGCUGUUCGCCAUUUAAAGUGGUACGCGAGCUGGGUUUAGAACGUCGUGAGACAGUUCGGUCCCUAUCUGCCGUGGGCGCUGGAGAACUGAGGGGGGCUGCUCCUAGUACGAGAGGACCGGAGUGGACGCAUCACUGGUGUUCGGGUUGUCAUGCCAAUGGCACUGCCCGGUAGCUAAAUGCGGAAGAGAUAAGUGCUGAAAGCAUCUAAGCACGAAACUUGCC
rnacentral:rRNA from 1 species